rnacentral:tRNA from 1 species
UAGUAAGAAACAAUUAAUUGUAUUUAGUUUCGACCUAAAAUUUUGGAUUAUUCCCUUACUAU